UCCUGUGUAGCUUAGUCAGUAAAGCAUCUGCCUGCAAUACGGGGGACCUGGGUUCAAUUCCUGGUUCAGGAA
rnacentral:tRNA from 1 species